AAACUAACAAGGAUUCCCCUAGUAACGGCGAGUGAAGAGGGAAGAGCCCAAGAUUGAAAGCUGGCGUCUUCGGCGUCCGCAUUGUAAUCUCAAGAAGUGUUUUCCGCUUCGGACCAAGCCUAAGUCCCCUGGAAAGGGGCAUCAUAGAGGGUGAUAAUCCCGUACAUGGCUUGGAGCGCCCGAGGCUUUGUGAUACGCUUUCUAAGAGUCGAGUUGUUUGGGAAUGCAGCUCAAAAUGGGUGGUAAAUGCCAUCUAAGGCUAAAUAUUGGGGAGAGACCGAUAGCGAACAAGUACAGUGAUGGAAAGAUGAAAAGAACUUUGAAAAGAGAGUUAAACAGUACGUGAAAUUGCCAAAAGGGAAGGGUAGGAGGUCAGAGAUGCGGCCUGGGAUUCAGCCUUGCUUUUGCUUGGUGUUUUUCCCAGAUUGCAGGCCAACGUCGGUUUUGGGCACUGGAGAAGGGUAGGAGGAACGUGGCACCCCUCGGGGUGUGUUAUAGCCUCCUACUGGAUACAGCGACCGAGACCGAGGACAGCAGCGUACUCGCAAGAGCGGGCCUUCGGGCACCUUUACGC
rnacentral:rRNA from 1 species